rnacentral:tRNA from 1 species
CCAGAUAUUGAUCAGUUGGUAGAGCGUGAGACUCUUAAUCUCAGGGUUGUGGGUUUGAGUCCCACAUUGUGCA